AAAGCGGGAUGAGCUCAAGCUUAAAAUCUCCGUACAAGUUUUGUACGGCGAAUUGUAGUCUAUAGAGGCGUGGUCAGCGCGGGCGCUUGGGGCAAGUUCCUUGGAAGAGGACAGCAUGGAGGGUGAUACUCCCGUUUAUCCCUGAGUGGCUCGUGCGUACGACCCGUUUUCUUUGAGUCGCGUUGUUUGAGAAUGCAGCGCAAAGUAGGUGGUAAAUUCCAUCUAAAGCUAAAUAUUGGUGCGAGACCGAUAGCGAACAAGUACCGUGAGGGAAAGAUGAAAAGAACUUUGAAAAGAGAGUUAAAGAGUACCUGAAACUGCUGAAAGGGAACCGAAUCGUUUCCAGUGUCUAUAAUCCGUGGCAUAUUUCAUUGGCGAGUGUAUGCGUGCGUGUACCGUGGCAGCGGCGUUUUGCUGCGCUCGGUGCUUGUGCUGUAUAUACUUGCUGGUGCCCUGUGCUGCGGUGGGACGUCAACGUCAGUUCGUAUGCUGCGGGAAAUGGCUGCUGAGGAGGUAGGGCUUACGCUUGCGUUUGUCUGUUAUAUCUUGGUAGACGAGUCGUCGCGGUUGGGACUGAGGUGCCUACAACGUGCUUUUGAGUGGGUCUGCGUCUCCGUGUGUGCCGUGUGCGGAUAGCUUGCUAUGCGUGUGUGGUUAUGUAUGGAUUGAUGCGGGCUUUAAC
rnacentral:rRNA from 1 species